UGUUUAUGCAACAAUACGUGGGCUGCUUUCAGCCUUCAUUAGAGAAAUUUCUUUAUGCAGUGAGUAGCAGUCAGUGCAUAGACAAACAACUGGUCAUGUGCUAAGAGUAAGAGAUUGUAAGUUCCUAUCUGUUGCAGGAUUUUCCCUAUCCAAUUACAUUAGCGCAGAGGAGGCCUGUGAUUGGACAGUAAAAAAGGAAGGUGGAGCUAAGCGUUGCAGAGCGUCUCAGAGGAGAGGGAGAGGAGAAUGGAGGCAGAUGUGAUCAUUUCAUGUGGUUAGAAUAAUUGGGAUAAAAUUUUUAUCAUUACCAAUUGGCUCUGAAGUUAUUGUAUUGGCAUCUUGUAAAUUGUGAUAUUAUUGAUACAUAAAUCUGAUUGGUUAAUUAAGCUUUGAGAGUCUUGAUUUUACUGGGUUACUGGGUGUUGUGAUUUCUAACCCAUUUAGUUACUGGAAUGUGGGAUCUCUGACUACAUUUAUGGCUGAGGAAGUACUGGCAGCUCCGGGACAAGAGAGCCGGGGCUAACUUCCGGAGCUGGCUGGAGAGAGCUGAUGGCAGUGGCAAGAGCGCAAGAGCGUGGUCCGCCCAGCACAGAGAUGGGAACACUGAAGAGGAGGAGGAAGACGGAAGUAAAAGGAGCCAGAGGAUCUGAAAGAACGUUGUGAAAUUCUGUCUUCUGGACAUAACAGGACCAUUGUGCU
rnacentral:lncRNA from 1 species